rnacentral:misc_RNA from 1 species
GAAAUGCGAUACGUAAUGUGAAUUGCAGAAUCCCGUGAAUCAUCAAAUCUUCGAACGCAUAUUGCGCUCUUGGGUAUUCCUGAGAGCAUGCCUGUUUGAGUGUCAGUAUCAACCCUCAAACCACCAUGUGUGGUCUGGAUGUGGACCCUUCUCAGAUCUAAGUUGUCUGAGUGGUCUCAAAUGUAUAGGAGAAUUGACCUUUACUCUUGAAGGCGUGAUAAUGGAUUGCAUCUUUUGUUCGUCUUAAGGAGGGUGAUUUGGACAACUUCUCCCUAAUGGCCUCUUGUAGGCAAAAGAAAUGGUGAAAGCCUUUCUGAAACUUGACCUCAAAUCAAGCAAGACUACCCGCUGAACUUAA